rnacentral:rRNA from 1 species
CCUACGGGAGGCAGCAGUGGGGAAUAUUGGACAAUGGGGGGAACCCUGAUCCAGCCAUGCCGCGUGUGUGAAGAAGGCCCUCGGGUUGUAAAGCACUUUCAGUGAGGAAGAACGCCUGGUGGUUAAUACCCAUCAGGAAAGACAUCACUCACAGAAGAAGCACCGGCUAACUCCGUGCCAGCAGCCGCGGUAAUACGGAGGGUGCGAGCGUUAAUCGGAAUUACUGGGCGUAAAGCGCGCGUAGGUGGCUUGAUAAGCCGGUUGUGAAAGCCCCGGGCUCAACCUGGGAACGGCAUCCGGAACUGGCAAGCUAGAGUGCAGGAGAGGAAGGUAGAAUUCCCGGUGUAGCGGUGAAAUGCGUAGAGAUCGGGAGGAAUACCAGUGGCGAAGGCGGCCUUCUGGACUGACACUGACACUGAGGUGCGAAAGCGUGGGUAGCAAACAGGAUUAGAUACCCGUGUAGUC